rnacentral:lncRNA from 1 species
GAUAUCUAAGUGUACAAUUAAAACAUACAGAAUUUGAAACAGCAAACCCUAGAGGCAUAUUAUCUACCCUCCUCAAAGCUAAACAUAUAUAAUUACCCAUCCCUUUUCACUAGCCAACCCCAAUCUUUGUUUACAAAUUAUUACAGAUCAAGUGUUGAAUUACAAGAGAAGUACAAAAUAAGAAGCUACAACCAAAAGAAGCUUGAUCUUGACUUCCCGUCUGAAUUAUAUAAUUAAUCACUGCAAUGCCACUCAUUUCAAAGCCUUUCUCAGACCUGGGUACGUUAAAGUUCCCUAAGGGUCUCGAGGGACCCCGUGCAGUGCUUACACCCAGGAUUGCAUAACCAGAUACAGAAUGAGUGCAGUGUGGAAGGGCGAGCCCUUAUGUGUCCAAGUUCAGAGAGAUCUCAAGCGUCCUAAGGCAAGGCUCACACAAGAGGGGCAGAACUUAGGUUCUAGGAAUAUAGUGAAAGUGCAGAACAUAGAGAUUUAUUUAACAUUGGGCUGGGAAAUAGUAAGUGAUAAGGGUGAUGUGAAAACAAUAGUACACAUGAUCAAUAAUUACACAAAGGGGUCAGGGGUUUUGGGAAUACAUUGUAAAACUGGACUGGGAAAUAGUAACUGAUAAGAAUGAUUUGAAAAUAGUAGUAGUAAAAUUUAGACUACAUAGAGUCAACAUUUGCACAAAGAGGUCGGGGGUUUUGGGAAUAUAUUUCUUGAAGCAUAUGACCCUAGGAGGGGUCAGGUUUAGACAUGCACAACAAUAGAGGAUGCUGGCAUAUUCAAAAAUCAGCCAAAGAAUACAAACAUAAAGAGGGGAUAUGGGGUUUGGGAUUUAUACACAUAGAAGAGCAUUAACUUAAAAAGGGGAAAGGAACACAAUGCCACACGCUAAUAAUGUAACUUGAUUGUGGAAGCAUAAGAAGAAAUGAACAAGUAUGAGGGAAGUUGGAACAAUUACAGAAACAUAUUGUUGUUAAUGCUUGAAAAUUAACUAGGACAUACUAGUAAAAAGUAAAGGGCAGAAAGAAAAGUAAGCAAAUGUCCACAGUCUAGCCUUGGCUUUCAGCCGGCUAGAAAAAACUGUAGCAUAAAUAGUUACAGAAAAAAGAGAGUUUUUACUGAAGUGUCUGGUCUGAACUUAGGUAGUUCAUGUCCUAUUAAAGAAAAGGGGUGUGUAUUUAUAGUUUUGAAAACAAGUGGUAAGUAAGGUAAUCAGCAAAG